GAUGAAGAACGCAGUGAAAUGCGAUAAUUAAUGUGAAUUGCAGAAUUCAGUGAAUCAUCGAGUCUUUGAACGCACAUUGCGCCCCCUGGUAUUCCGGGGGGCAUGCCUGUCCGAGCGUCAUUGCUGCCCUCAAGCACGGCUUGUGUGUUGGGCUUCCGUCCCUGGCAACGGGGACGGGCCCAAAAGGUAGUGGCGGCACCAUGUCUGGUCCUCGAGCGUAUGGGGCUUUGUCACCCGCUCCCGUAGGUCCAGCUGGCAGCUAGCCUCGCAACCAAUCUUUUUAACCAGGUUGACCUCGGAUCAGGUAGGGAUACCCGCUGAACUUAAGCAUAUCAAUAAGCGGAGGA
rnacentral:misc_RNA from 1 species